rnacentral:rRNA from 1 species
GAUGAACGCUGGCGGCGUGCCUAAUACAUGCAAGUAGAGCGCUGAAGGAAGGAGCUUGCUCUUUCCGGAUGAGUUGCGAACGGGUGAGUAACGCGUAGGUAACCUGCCUGGUAGCGGGGGAUAACUAUUGGAAACGAUAGCUAAUACCGCAUAACAGUAGAUGUUGCAUGAUAUCUACUUAAAAGGUGCAAUUGCACCACUACCAGAUGGACCUGCGUUGUAUUAGCUAGUUGGUGAGGUAACGGCUCACCAAGGCGACGAUACAUAGCCGACCUGAGAGGGUGAUCGGCCACACUGGGACUGAGACACGGCCCAGACUCCUACGGGAGGCAGCAGUAGGGAAUCUUCGGCAAUGGACGGAAGUCUGACCGAGCAACGCCGCGUGAGUGAAGAAGGUUUUCGGAUCGUAAAGCUCUGUUGUAAGAGAAGAACGAGUGUGAGAGUGGAAAGUUCACACUGUGACGGUAUCUUACCAGAAAGGGACGGCUAACUACGUG